rnacentral:rRNA from 1 species
GUAGAUAUUAGGAAGAACAUCAAUGGCGAAGGCAGCUAACUGGUUAUGUACUGACACUGAGGAACGAAAGCGUGGGGAGCAAACAGGAUUAGAUACCCUGGUAGUCCACGCCGUAAACGAUGAUCAUUAGCUGGUGGAAUUUUUCACUAGCGCAGCUAACGCAUUAAAUGAUCCACCUGAGUAGUAUGCUCGCAAGAGUGAAACUUAAAGGAAUUGACGGGGACCCGCACAAGCGGUGGAG